rnacentral:rRNA from 1 species
UACAGAGGGGGCAAGCGUUGUUCGGAAUUACUGGGCGUAAAGGGCGCGUAGGCGGCCUGUUAAGUCGAACGUGAAAUCCCUGGGCUCAACCCAGGAACUGCGUCCGAUACUGGCAGGCUUGAAUUCGGGAGAGGGAUGCGGAAUUCCAGGUGUAGCGGUGAAAUUCGUAGAUAUCGAGAGGAACACCGGUGGCGAAGGCGGCCUUCUGGACAGUGACUGACGCUGAGACGCGAAAGCGUGGGGAGCAAACAGG